CGAUCUGGCUCAGGAUGAACGCUGGCGGCGCGCAUAACACAUUCAAGUCGAACGAAGGACAGAGCUUACUCUGUUACUUAGUGGCGGACGGGUGAGUAACGCGUGAGUAAUCUGCCUCUGUGUGCGGGAUAACAGCUGGAAACGGCUGCUAAUACCGCAUGAUGCAUCGAGACCGCAUGGUCAUGAUGCCAAAGAUUUAUGCACAGAGAUGAACUUGCGUCCGAUUAGAUAGUUGGCGGGGUAAAGGCCCCACCAAGUCUACGAUCGGUAGCCGGACUGAGAGGUUGAACGGCCACAUUGGAACUGAGAUACGGUCCAGACUCCUACGGGAGGCAGCAGUGGGGAAUUUUGGGCAAUGGGCGAAAGCCUGACCCAGCGACGCCGCGUGAAGGAAGAAGAUCUUCGGAUUGUAAACUUCUGUCAACAGGGAAGAAACAAAUGACGGUACCUGUGGAGGAAGCCACGGCUAACUACGUGCCAGCCGCAGC
rnacentral:rRNA from 1 species